rnacentral:rRNA from 1 species
AGCGGCAACAGCUCAGAUUUGAAAUCUGGCCCUUACGGGGUCCGAGUUGUAAUCUGUAGAGGAUGCUUUUGGCGACGCGCCUUCCGAGUCCCCUGGAACGGGGCGCCAGAGAGGGUGAGAGCCCCGUAUGGUUGGACGCCGAACCUCUGUAAAGCUCCUUCGACGAGUCGAGUAGUUUGGGAAUGCUGCUCAAAAUGGGAGGUAAAUUUCUUCUAAAGCUAAAUACCGGCCAGAGACCGAUAGCGCACAAGUAGAGUGAUCGAAAGAUGAAAAGCACUUUGAAAAGAGGGUUAAAUAGCACGUGAAAUUGCUGAAAGGGAAGCGCUUGUGACCAGACUUGCGCCCGGUUGAUCAUCCAGCGUUCUCGCUGGUGCACUCUGCCGGGCUCAGGCCAGCAUCGGCUCUCCCAGGGGGAUAAAGGUCGCGGGAACGUAGCUCUCUCCGGGGAGUGUUAUAGCCCGUGGCGGAAUGCCCUUAGGGGGGGCCGAGGCCCGCGUUCGCAAGGAUGCUGGCGUAAUGGUCACCAGCGACCCGUCUUGAA